GAUGAACGCUGGCGGCGUGCCUAAUACAUGCAAGUCGAGCGAACAGACGAGGAGCUUGCUCCUCUGACGUUAGCGGCGGACGGGUGAGUAACACGUGGAUAACCUACCUAUAAGACUGGGAUAACUUCGGGAAACCGGAGCUAAUACCGGAUAACAUCUUGAACCGCAUGGUUCAAUAGUGAAAGACGGUUUUGCUGUCACUUAUAGAUGGAUCCGCGCCGCAUUAGCUAGUUGGUAAGGUAACGGCUUACCAAGGCAACGAUGCGUAGCCGACCUGAGAGGGUGAUCGGCCACACUGGAACUGAGACACGGUCCAGACUCCUACGGGAGGCAGCAGUAGGGAAUCUUGCGCAAUGGGCGAAAGCCUGACGGAGCAACGCCGCGUGAGUGAAGAAGGUCUUCGGAUCGUAAAACUCUGUUAUUAGGGAAGAACAAAUGUGUAAGUAACUAUGCACGUCUUGACGGUACCUAAUCAGAAAGCCACGGCUAACUACGUG
rnacentral:rRNA from 1 species